rnacentral:rRNA from 1 species
AGAUUGAACGCUGGCGGCAGGCCUAACACAUGCAAGUCGAGCGGUAGAGAGGUGCUUGCACCUCUUGAGAGCGGCGGACGGGUGAGUAAUGCCUAGGAAUCUGCCUAGUGGUGGGGGAUAACGUUCGGAAACGGACGCUAAUACCGCAUACGUCCUACGGGAGAAAGCGGGGGACCUUCGGGCCUCGCGCCAUUAGAUGAGCCUAGGUCGGAUUAGCUAGUUGGUGAGGUAAUGGCUCACCAAGGCGACGAUCCGUAACUGGUCUGAGAGGAUGAUCAGUCACACUGGAACUGAGACACGGUCCAGACUCCUACGGGAGCAGCAGUGGGGGAA